CAAAGGGGAGCUGGCAGACCGGCUGAGAGGAAACUAUGCGUUUCGACCCUAGAACCUGAUUUGGAUAAUGCCAGCGUAGGAAUUGCUCAUAAC
rnacentral:ncRNA from 1 species